GCCCUCUCGGCGCCGCCGCGCUCUCGUGGCUGGCAGGAGGGCCGACUGCUUCCAAUGAGUUCCUUCCUUCACUCGUUCAGCGGAUACUAACACUCUUACUGCUCUGCCGCCUGGUUCCACCACGAAGGGUGCCUCUCACACGAGAGCUCAGCACGGUCAGGGGAUGCUUGUGGCAGAAGCGUUGCUAUGGAGAAGGCUCCGGAGACAAGCUGACGGCCAUGGGGAGAGGGUGCUUAAAUCAUCUCAGGUGCAUCCACACUAGGAAACUGUGCAUCUGGAACAGAAUGAGGGCCUGAUGUGUACAUACACUGUCAGGCACCAGAAACAGUGCGAGGGAGAGAAUAUUACAUGUUUAUACACACAGAAACCUUCUGGAAGGAUCCACAAGGAACUGUUUGCUAUGAGUCCCCUUAGGAGGGACGAGAAAUAUGAAUUUUCAUUGUAUACCCUUUUACAGUAUUUGGAUUUUAUUUUUUAUCUAUUUUUAUUUUUAAAAGUCUCUUGGGGCG